rnacentral:rRNA from 1 species
UACAGAGGAUGCAAGCGUUAUCCGGAAUGAUUGGGCGUAAAGCGUCUGUAGGUGGCUUUUUAAGUCCGCCGUCAAAUCCCAGGGCUCAACUCUGGACAGGCGGUGGAAACUACCGAGCUGGAGUACGGUAGGGGCAGAGGGAAUUCCCAGUGUAGCGGUGAAAUGCGUAGAGAUUGGGAAGAACACCGGUGGCGAAAGCGCUCUGCUAGGCCGCAACUGACACUGAGGGACGAAAGCUAGGGGAGCGAAUGGG